rnacentral:rRNA from 1 species
UUGUAAUUGGAAUGAUAGAAAUUUAAACACUUUUUAAAGUAUCAAUUGGAGGGCAAGUCUGGUGCCAGCAGCCGCGGUAAUUCCAGCUCCAAUAGCGUAUAUUAAAAUUGUUGCAGUUAAAAAGCUCGUAGUUGAAUUUCUGUUAAAAAUAACCGGUCUGCUUUUAAUAAAAGUGGUAUCUUGGUGUGUUUUUAGCAAUAAUGUCCUUUGAAAUGUUUUUUACUUUAUUGUAAUAAAUAAUAUUCAGGAUUUUUACUUUGAGAAAAUUAGAGUGUUUCUAGCAGGCUAACGCUUUGAAUACUGCAGCAUGGAAUAAUAAAAUAGGAUUUUAGUUCUACAUUAUUGGUUUUAAGAACUAAAUUAAUGAUUGAUAGGGACAGUUGGGGGCAUUUGUAUUUAACUGUCAGAGGUGAAAUUCUUAGAUUUGUUAAAGACAAACUACUGCGAAAGCAUUUGCCAAAGAUGUUUUCAUUAAUCAAGAACGAAAGUUAGGGGAUCGAAGACGAUCAGAUACCGUCGUAGUCUUAACUAUAAACUAUGCCGACUAGAGAUUGGAGGUCG